rnacentral:rRNA from 1 species
UGGGGAAUAUUGCACAAUGGGGGAAACCCUGAUGCAGCGACGCCGCGUGAGUGAAGAAGUAUUUCGGUAUGUAAAGCUCUAUCAGCAGGGAAGAAGAUGACAGUACCUGACUAAGAAGCCCCGGCUAACUACGUGCCAGCAGCCGCGGUAAUACGUAGGGGGCAAGCGUUAUCCGGAUUUACUGGGUGUAAAGGGAGCGUAGGUGGCAAGGCAAGCCAGAAGUGAAAACCCGGGGCUUAACCCCGCGGAUUGCUUUUGGAACUGUCUGGCUGGAGUGCAGGAGGGGCAGGCGGAAUUCCUAGUGUAGCGGUGAAAUGCGUAGAUAUUAGGAGGAACACCGGUGGCGAAGGCGGCCUGCUGGACUGUAACUGACACUGAGGCUCGAAAGCGUGGGGAGCAAACA